AAUCCUGGAUGGAGAGAAUUCAAGGGGACAUCAUUUUGCAUUGCUUGGAUCAAGCAUUUACUUUAGACUCAUGUGGGGGAUAUUAAGAAAGAGUGAGUUUUAGUGCCAAUAUCUGAGAUAGGCCUGGGCGGUAUAACUGUAUACCAGGUUACUUAGAAAUACCGUAGGUACUAUUCAAUACCGUCCAAAUUACAGACGCUCCUCUUUCUAUUUUUCAUCUGACAUCUUAUUGAUGCACCUUUUUAUUAUGUUGAUAUAGAUCUGUCUCUGUUUCGUAGCAGGAUAAAGCAUUUGCAUUGUGUUUGAGACUGAAAAAGGUUUGUUCGCCAAUGAAGAGUGUCUGUCCUGCCUAGGCGGACGUAGUUCUACUACAAGCAAUCAUGUACCUGCUAUGCUGAGAGGCAUCCAGUGCUAGGAAAUGCAUGCUGGGAAAAACCCUUGGCAGGGCGUUGAAGUGAGGGGCAAGGCUGGCGGAGAACUGGCACCAGGUGGUGAAGAAGAGCACCACGGAGCACUCGGUCCCGUUGGCGUUCAGGAACUCCAUCAGGUCCUGCAGCACAUCACCAGCAAGCAGGGUUUGACCAGCGCAGACAUGACUGCAUGAUAUUACCGGUGCCAACAGGGCUUACAUGGUAACAGUGGCAGGAAGGGGUUUGCAUCGCAAUAGGUCGUCCAAAGUUGAGAAAUCUAUGCACUCAUUGUUCUGAUUAAAGACUCCAUUAUGGCAUUCAUAUUUCAAAUUGAAUAGAUGAAUAGAUCAUUAUCUGAUAAAAACGUUAAUAGAUGUAGUAUUUAUGUGUGAAACUACCCUUUGAGUACCCAUAGUGCAUCAACAAGUCCAUUCCUCACAGGAAGACAGGAAUUACCUGUGAGGCAUUCAGGACCUGCACAGUAAAGUCCUCCAUCCCGGUGAUAUUCCUCCUAUCACAGUUGACCUUGUGCGUCUUCGUGGUCUCCGUUGUGUUCUGCUCCUCCGUCACCAUGGCGUCCACGUGCACCAUAUCCAGAGUAACCUUGGAACAGGGAAGAGAGGGCACCGAAUGUGAGACCACCCUAUACAUAUCGUUUGGAAAUCAAACAACGGAAAAUAAAAAGUAGGUAGUGAAUACAUUUUCAAACCAAUAUCGAUUUAGGGUUAUGCCCAGGGAGAUGAAAGUUUGCAUAUGAUAAUGUAGGCAGAAGCCACAUUUAAUGGCUGUUGGUACCCCGAAUCCCCAAAUCCUUAAAUCUUUAUAGACUAUUAAUAUGUAAAGAGGCUUUGUUUACAGUCACCUGCUCUGUUUCCGGGCUGUUCUUCAAAAGUACUCCAUCAGGAGCCUGAGAGGGUGCAGCACACUCUGCAUCAUCCUCAGCACAAGGUGGCAAGAAGCCACUCUGGAAGUCUUUCACAUUUUUGGGAUACAGGGACUCUAUGUCCGAUGGAUCGAUGGGGGUUUCAGUCCCCAUAAGGGCAUCUGCAAUUUCAGCAGUUUUGAACUGCCGUUUCGGGUGAGACUCAAAGUUGUCCGUCUCAACGAAUUUAGGGCUGUUCUCCAGGUCGGAGAGGGCAUCCUCACUCCAUUUUGUCUCUGAAGACUCACUGCUCUCUGUGAACGUGGUCAAACAAUAGCAAUGCAUAUCAACUAUACUAGAAACGUUAGUCAUUGAUAAAAACCUCCUUAAAUAUCCAAGCAUACAUCUGGUAGAAAAUGAAAA